UUCAUAAUUAGUUGGCUAGAUAUGAUCCACGAGACAGUUCAGAUUCAAAGGCGCGGAUGUACGUCUCUUCAUUCCGCUCCAGGAAAUGUCCAAGCUGGGUCUGUACAUGGUUCAAUUCUAAUCUCAUCAGGAGAAAACCCUCAGAUCAAAUGACGUUUGCGUUUAGCACAUUGAUACUGAGGGAAAUAACGAAAAUGGCUUAAUUCAGACAGAAUGAGGCUUCGUUUCAUCUACAGGCCACAAUAGGCCGGAUUUUUGAGAAUCUCGAUCGUCUAGUUUUCAGCUUUUCGGCUAUCUUUAUUCUUCGAAUAUCUCCGAGAAUACGGACACCCAUCAUCAUGAUCAUAUCGGUAAUAUCAAAGACUCCGACAAGUUUGAGCAAGGGUCCAAAGCUAGGUCUAGUCUCUCUUCCCACCAGCGCGGUUCCAAAGUCCAACGGGCAUGAAAGCCCAAAUCGGGGCUGCCUCACUACAGCAAUGCCAAACUUUGAUUAUUACUGCUGCCUUAUGAGACAAGGCUCUGGCAUCGGAUUGGAUGAAGAUUCGACGGUUGAACUAUUAGCUAGCACACUCGUUUGAUUAACCCUAGCCACUGGCAUAUAGUCGUCCAUAAGCCAGUCAAGGAGCAGAAAGGUAAGGGUAACAAAUGGUCCCUGCGCAUAAAUCCAAUCCAACCAGAUGGUCGAGAUUCAAGCUAGGCUAUUACAUAUUGGGACAGACUUUUUGGAUCUUUUGAUCCUGACGGGUUUGUGGAUAUGAUCAAUGCGAGAUACAGGAUGAAUCUCGAGCAGGGCUGUCACGUUUGGAGAUGCAUGUUUAUUGGAUGGUGAUAUGGUACCUGGGAGAACUACUCUUUUGACUGUCCCAUACAUGGCCUUACACGAUCCUGUCUAAAGUACCUUAGCAGUUUAUCCCUGAUAACCAUGCCUGCGUGUGCAUACCUUGCGUAGGUGAGUAUGGGUCCAAGAUAUCCAUCACCCCUCCGAUGUAGUUCUUACUUGGAGGGGUAACAGUUAGGAGGGGGAAGAUUACAAAGGAUUACAGGAAAUGGCCGUGGAUUUAAAUGGUCAUACAUACAAUGAGCAUACCAAGAUGGUGCAUUUCUAUUGGCUCGUUCAGGGGGUGCUCCACUCGGCCCUCAUCGGACGGGCCGUCCCUUUGCGUAAUCCAUGGAACCGUUCAAAGAUUCCAUCCAUGAUCCUUCUACAUACAAAUCUCCCACAACUUGGUGAAUUCUCGAUUUACAUACAGUUCAACGAAGCAUUGUGUCUCAGAUGAUAUUGACAGUUUCAGAGUCACUUUGAAGUCCGCCAAAUUCCACGCUAAACCAACAGAGUUGAUCAAACCGCCCGCGUGCAAGACCUCAACGAGGUCUCGUGUCCAAUCAUGCCGUACACCAUGAUCUUUUUCUGGCCGACCAAUCAAGGCGAUGCAACAGUAUAUAUACGAUUGGCUACAAAUGCAUAUUUUCUGUUGAACUAGUUUGAGCUUAGGGUCAUUCGUUCUUUCCAUCGUUUAUUUGGUAACGUCUCGUGGGCCGUGACUUGUGUAAGAAUGCCAUUAUCAGCCGACGUGCUCAUCAAGCAAGUCACUUUACACAAUAGCGCCAAAAAAAUACUCAAAGGAGAAGAGAUUAUCCGAGACAUCCUUAUAUUUGCAUCCGAAUAAAAUGUUAUGUAACCAUAUAACCUGACUACGGGAAAAGGGUCGCACUGUCUUAUUUACCUAGGUACGCAAUGGUAAAAGGAAAAAAGCAAAAAAGGAAAAAAGAAAACGGAAAACGGAAAAAUAAUGAUCAUGGAAAAGAUCUUGUCAGACAUACACGAAGAUUAUCAAUUUUUAUGCAUGUCACUCAAAUCAGUCCGUUGGUUUAGUUGAUCGGCAAGUGCGCUUCUUCAAGUCUAUCCGUCCACACUACCUCUUUCUUUUCUUUUUCUAAAUGUACAAGUGAACUUUAAGCUUAUUUGGGUUAUUUGUUAAAGAGUUUGGAUUUAUUACAACAUGAGAUUUGUAAGAUAUGUUGGUCUAGGUGUGAAAUAUCGACAUGGUGAUUGUUCCUGUGACUAUGACGGCAAUAUCGAGGACUUGCUCGAUGCCAUGAUAACGGCAUUCACAAGACAGUUCAUAACAAUAAUACCCCCGGUGCUAACAUACAACUUGAACGUUGUGAUUACUACGUAGUCGUACUAGAAGUGGAGGAUCUGGUCCCUACAUAGUGUACGUCAUGCUUGCUGGGUGUUCGCAGCGGUUUAGUCAGGAGUGUAACGUCCGACUCUUGAUAAACUGAUUGGACCAGGUUUAUUUCUAUUGUAAGUUACACUCUGUAGUGACGAGACGAUCAUAACCGAAAGGAGUGAAAAUCGAGAUCGCUCAGGUCGGACACGGAGGAUUACCGGUACCAAGAACCAUCACAAGUUGAGCAGUCUAGGUUGAAGACACAGUUCUGUUGAGACAGAGACGGCCUGUUUUGCUUAUAGUAAUGAUCAAGUCUGGUGCUCGUUAUGAUUCAAUUCAUUGGUUUAUAUGGUAUAUUGCGAGGUCAGGUGUGGGAGCCUAACUAAGAGCCAUGCCAUGGCAGGAGCAGGCCAUUGAAGGCUGGAAGCGCCGUUUCGGUUGAAUGACGCUCAGCCUUAGAGAUCCUUGAAGUGAAGUAACUAGAGGCAGUAUUCAGUCUUAGGCAGGACUCGGUGUAGAGAAUAAUAUCGAUUGACAAGAAUAGAUGAAGAGAGCGCUUGCUGAGGGAAAAGAUGAGCCUAUGACAGCCGAAAAGGUGGGAUGUAUUUUAUGUAUUUAAUACGACAGAAACAAGGCAUCCGAUCCGAAACGGCCAAUGAAAGAGUAUACGUGCUGUAUAGAUUAACCAGCCUAGCACUGUUAUAAACUAGUUUUGUAUGGUAUUGUGUACCAUGGGCUCGUAUGGCCAAUAC
rnacentral:lncRNA from 1 species